GUGGGGAAUAUUGGACAAUGGGGGAAACCCUGAUCCAGCGACGCCGCGUGAGGGAAGAAGGCCUUCGGGUUGUAAACCUCUGUCGAAAGGGACGAAACCUAUCAUGGCUAAUAUCCAUGGUAAUUGACGGUACCUUUAAAGGAAGCACCGGCUAACCUCGUGCCAGCAGCCGCGGUAAUACGAGGGGUGCAAGCGUUGUUCGGAUUUACUGGGCGUAAAGCGUGUCAAGGUGGAUUUGUAAGUCAGGUGUGAAAGCCCCCGGUUCAACCGGGGAGGGUCGCUUGAUACUGCAAGUCUUGAGUUUUGGAGGGGUGAGUGGAAUUCCCAGUGUAGAGGUGAAAUUCGUAGAGAUUGGGAGGAACACCUGUGGCGAAAGCGGCUCACUAACCAAAUACUGACACUCAAGCACGAAAGCGUGGGUAGCAAACAGGAUUAGAAACCCCAGUAGUCC
rnacentral:rRNA from 1 species